AUAUAACUUUGGCUGUACGUAUACUAAAACUGGAACAAUAUGGAGGAGAUUAGCAUGGCCCCACUACAGGGAUGACAACGCAAAUUUGUGAAGUGUUAUCCUUGAAG
rfam:Octopus bimaculoides Scaffold53989_contig_4, whole genome shotgun sequence.